rnacentral:rRNA from 1 species
AAACCAACUGGGAUUACCUUAGUAACGGCGAGUGAAGCGGUAAAAGCUCAAAUUUGAAAUCUGGUACUUUCAGUGCCCGAGUUGUAAUUUGUAGAAUUUGUCUUUGAUUAGGUCCUUGUCUAUGUUCCUUGGAACAGGACGUCAUAGAGGGUGAGAAUCCCGUUUGGCGAGGAUACCUUUUCUUUGUAAGACUUUUUCGAAGAGUCGAGUUGUUUGGGAAUGCAGCUCAAAGUGGGUGGUAAAUUCCAUCUAAAGCUAAAUAUUGGCGAGAGACCGAUAGCGAACAAGUACAGUGAUGGAAAGAUGAAAAGAACUUUGAAAAGAGAGUGAAAAAGUACGUGAAAUUGUUGAAAGGGAGGGCAUUUGAUCAGACAUGGUGUUUUUGCAUGCACUCGCCUCUCGUGGGCUUGGGCCUCUCAAAAAUUUCACUGGGCCAACAUCAAUUUUGGCAGCAGGAUAAAUCAUUAAGAAUGUAGCUACUUCGGUAGUGUUAUAGCUUUUUGGAAUACUGUUAGCCGGGUA